UCCCGGAUCGUCUAAUGGUAGGACCGUGGCUUUUGGUGCCAUUUAUGGGGGUUCGAAUCCUCCUCCGGGAG
rnacentral:tRNA from 2 species